GCCUACGGGGGGCAGCAGUAGGGAAUUUUCGUCAAUGGGCGCAAGCCUGAACGAGCAAUGCCGCGUGAACGAGGAAGGUCUUCGGAUCGUAAAGUUCUGUUGAAGGGGAAAAAGAGCGGAGAGAGGAAAUGGUCUUCGAUUGAUAUUACCCUUCGAGGAAGUCACGGCUAACUACGUGCCAGCAGCCGCGGUAAUACGUAGGUGGCGAGCGUUAUCCGGAAUGAUUGGGCGUAAAGGGUGCGUAGGCGGCCUGCUAAGUCUGGAGUGAACGGUACCGGCUCAACCGGUACAGGCUCUGGAAACUG
rnacentral:rRNA from 1 species